UCUCUGGUGGUUCAGUGGUUAAAAUUCUGCGCUCCCAAAGCGGGGGGCACAGGUUCGAUCCCUGGUUGCAGAA
rnacentral:tRNA from 1 species